CCAACGUGAAUAACCCCAGGAGGUUACUCUCCCUGGGCUCUGUCCAGGUGGCAUAAGGGAGCAUAGGGUUCUGCCCUGUGAUGUACAGUCCCUUUCCACGAUGUUGGAGAGAAAGCCGGGCCUUGAGUCUGUGCCUGCAUAUUCCUACAGUUUCUCAGAGUCCUUUGGACAAUUACUGAGGGGACAAACCAUGCAGGAAACAUUU